rnacentral:rRNA from 1 species
CCAAUAGCGUAUAUUAAAGUUGUUGCAGUUAAAAAGCUCGUAGUUGAAUUUCGGAAUCAAUAUGUCGGUCGUGCCUUCGGUUCGUACUGGUAUCAUUGGUUUCUCCUUUCUGACGAAUCAUGAUGUCAUUAAUUUGGUGUUAUGGGGAGUUAGGACUGUUACUUUGAAAAAAUUAGAGUGUUUAAAGCAGGCUUUAGCUUGAAUACAUUAGCAUGGACUAAUGAAAUAGGACGUUCGAACCUAUUUUGUUGGUUUCUAGGAUCAACGUAAUGAUUAAUAGGGAUAGUUGGGGGCAUUAGUAUUCAAUUGUCAGAGGUGAAAUUCUUGGAUUUAUUGAAGACUAACUACUGCGAAAACAUUUGCCAAGGAUGUUUUCAUUAAUCAAGAACGAAAGUUAGGGGAUCGAAGACGAUCAGAUACCGUCGUAGUCUUAACCAUAAACUAUGCCGACUAGGGAUCGGAUGAUGUUAAUUUUUUAAUGACUCAUUCGGCGCCUUACG